rnacentral:ncRNA from 1 species
AGAGGGGCCCGCGCCUUGGAAAGCGUCGCGGUUCCGGCGGCGUCCGGUGAGCUCUCGCUGGCCCGUGAAAAUCCGGGGGAGAGGGUGUAAGUCUCGCGCCGGGCCGUACCCAUAUCCGCAGCAGGUCUCCAAGGUGAACAGCCUCUGGCAUGUUGGAACAAUGUAGGUAAGGGAAGUCGGCAAGCCGGAUCCGUAACUUCGGGAUAAGGAUUGG